GCAAAGUGUGUUCCAUCCGAGCGGUGAUGUGAGAUGUGUCCCCCCUGUUCUUCAUCGGUUUGCUUGCAAUGAUUGAGAUAGAUGUGCUCAUUUGCCUUGCAGAAAAUGAAAAAUAAAGAUAUCUUUGUGCCCAGAUUCAGAGAUGGUUUGACUACCUAAUCAUAUAUGCAUGUGCAAACCGUCUAAAGCUGACUGUUGGAUGGGGUUGGCGAAGGUGUGCUUGAAUAAGGAUCACCUGAAGGCGUGGAGUCCCUAGCUGCUGGUUGUUGUGUG